rnacentral:rRNA from 1 species
UCCGGUUGAUCCCGCCGGACCCGACUGCUAUCGGGAUAAUGCUAAGCCAUGGGAGUCGAACGCCCCCAGCCACGUGGGGGCGUGGCGUACGGCUCAGUAGCACACGGCUAAUCUACCCUUGGGAGGGGUAUAACCCCGGGAAACUGGGGCUAAUACCCCAUAGACGAGCAACCCUGGAAUGGGUGCUCAUCGAAAGGGCGUGGGAGCAUGCUUCCACGUCGCCCAAGGAUGAGGCUGUGUUCCAUCAGGUAGUUGGCGAGGUAACGGCUCGCCAAGCCGAUAACGGAUGCGGGCAGUGAGAGCUGGAGCCCGGAGAUGGGCACUGAGACAAGGGCCCAGGCCCUACGGGGCGCACCAGGCGAGAAACCUUAGCAAUGCGGGAAACCGUGACUGGGCUAUCCCGAGUGCCAGCCGCUAAGGCUGGCUUUUCCCCAGAGUAAAAACCUGGGGGAAUAAGCGGGGGGCAAGACUGGUGUCAGCCGCCGCGGUAAUACCAGCUCCGCGAGUGGUCGGGACGAUUAUUGAGCCUAAAGCGCUCGUAGCCGGUCCGGUAAGUCCUGUGCUAAAUCCAACGGCUCAACCGUUGGGCCGCAUGGGAUACUGCCGGGCUAGGGAGCGGAAGAGGCCAGGGGUACUCCCGGGGUAGGGGCGAAAUCCUAUAAUCCCGGGAGGACAACCAGUGGCGAAGGCGCCUGGCUAGGACGCGUCCGACGGUGAGGGGCGAAAGCUGGGGGAGCGAACCGGAUUAGAUACCCGGGUAGUCCCAGCUGUAAACGAUGCGGAUUGGGUGCCGGUACGGCUUCGGGCCGUAUCGGUGCCUCAGGGAAGCCGUUAAAUCCGCCGCUUGGGGAGUACGGUCGCAAGACUGAAACUUAAAGGAAUUGGCGGGGGAGCAC